CAGAAUUACUUCGAUGUUGUUUUAUCUUAGUGUUCCUCACUUUUUAUUUUUGAACCUUACUGGACAUUUACAUUCCUUCAGAGCUCCAUUUUUAUUUGGAUUUUAUUUGGUUUAAUGAGUUCUCCUUGUUUACUCCUACCAAGAAUAGCAUUUGUAUCUCUCAUCUUUUCUUUUUGAAACUGCAUGGUGCACUUGAAAAAACAUGUUUCCAGGGUCAUUCUAUAUAGUUCGAACUUAUUAGUAGCUCUCUCACAAAGCUGGAUCAAUGUCUUGACUGUUUUUUUCCUCGACCUGUCUGGAUUGGAUGAACUUUAACUUGAACUUUUGGUUCAACUAUAGCCACAGCAAAGAGACGCAGGCAUAUGGGGAAAUAUUCCAAUAACCAAACACACGUCAUAUCUUUCACGCAGAGGGAAAUCAGUAUGCAACUAUUCCAACACAUGUGUCAUGCUGGAAGUAUCACGACUGAGAGAAGGAGUGCUGCCGUGCCGUUUGUUUAAGACCGCAGUGAGACUUUUGGAAAAUUCAGCUAGAUCAAAAAGUAAGCAUAUUCCUGAAUGAAAAUCACGAUGAUCGCAUCAGCAAAGUCUGG
rnacentral:lncRNA from 1 species